GUAGUAGUAGUAGGCCACGGGGUUUUUGGAUUUCCCAGCGACCACCGCAUCCGGAGGAGAUGACGACGGGGCUACAGUCCGUUUGCUGCGUUCACCGCCGCCUUCUCCAACUCUCGCCUCCCUCCUCUACUCCUCCCUUCUGCCCCCGUCGCAGAAGCCUCUCCGGCCCUUCCGCCGUCCUUCCUCCUGUUAACCUUCGAUGGUACGGCCGCAGUUUCCGCUUCCGGAACGCAUCCACAGGUCGAUCGAUUCUGCCGGGCAAGGUGUUAGCCUAUUUGCCCGAUUCAGAGAACUCCAACGGCGCGGUAAAAGAGGCGAAUCCGUCCAGUGUUGAUUCGAACGUUGGAUCCUUGGUUAGCGCGAGGGAUUUCGACGCGGUCCUCCGGUCUGGGUCUCACGCGAGGGGCAGCUUUGACCCCUUUCGUGGGAAGUCGGGUUCUGUGUCUUUCUGCGGAUUGACUCACCAGAUGGUGGAAGAGAGGAAGCUGGUUUCUUCCCCCUUCAAGGACGGCACAGGAUCGCUCGUGUGGAUUUUAGGUCCUCUAGCGCUGAUAUCUUCGCUCGUGGUUCCACAAUUUUUUCUCGGCAACGUUAUCGAGUCGGUUCUACGAGAUGAGAUCCUUGCAGAAAUUGUCGCCUCAUUGUCUUCAGAGGCCAUAUUCUAUGUCGGGCUUGCUGCAUUUCUGUCAGUAACUGAUCAUGUCCAACGCCCAUAUCUUGACUUCAGCCCGAAAAGAUGGAGCCUUAUCACCGGCCUCAGAGGCUACCUUUCCUCGGCUUUCUUCACCAUGGGUUUCAAGGUGUUUGCUCCUCUUCUUGCGGCCUAUGUUGUUUGGCCAGUGAUUGGUCUCCCUGCUGUGGUUGCCGUUGCUCCAUUUCUGAUGGGUUGUGCUGCACAAUAUGCAUUUGAGACACACCUCGACAGACGUAAUUCAUCUUGUUGGCCUGUAUUGCCAAUAAUCUUUGAGGUAUAUAGACUGUAUCAGUUGAACAAGGGUGCACAUUUUAUAGAAAGGUUAUUGUUUCUAAUGAGAGGAUCGUCUACGAACACUGCAGUAAUGGAAAGAAGUAGCGCAUUCAUUUCCAUGCUAGCCGUUCUCCAAAUCCUUGGUGUUGUUUGCCUGUGGUCUUUAAUGACUUUUCUUCUACGACUUUUCCCUUCUAGACCUGUGGCAGAGAACUAUUGAAUUCUCUCGAGCUUUUCUCAAUUUGUCAUGAUAGUGCACAUGAGCAGAGCAGCAUGGUACCUGAGGAACUGGUGGUCCACUGGCAUGACUCAAAUUUAAUAAAAGAACUUAUUGCUUGUCUGAUCUAGAAAUUAAAUUAUCCUUGAUUAUUCCUGCAGUGUGAUUGGUGACUUUGAUGAUGGAUGAUUGUGACGAAAUAGAAUCCACCUCUUUAAAAGCACUAACUGACAAAAUUAGCUGGUGCCAAAAUGGACAGUAUGGGAUUUGAAGGUAUAAUGUAUGAAAUCUGGGGACUGUGCAUACCAGUUAACAAAAAAGGGAAUUGGUAAAUGGAAAAUACAAGUGUUAAGAUGUUCGAACAGCAGGCCAGAUCUAUAAUGAUAUUAGAUGAUUCAGAGAUGUUUUCAAAAAGGUCGACUUGUUGGGUGGCCAACCCGGAGAUUGAAUUGUCCAAGAUUUAAGACACAAUCUCUGGGAAAUAAUCCAUCAAGAGAUUGGAUACGAUGAACAUAGUUUUAAAGCUAAAUUCAUGAGCUUGCCUUGCCCAUGGAAGUGGCCAACUUUUCCAGCCAGAAUAAAAAAUUGAAUUUGUUUUGUUA